GGCGGUAAAUUUUUAUUCAGAGGAGCUUGCUUAUUAAUUGACUUUACUCAUUAUAUUUAGCUUUAUUUAGUUUAUUUAUCUCCGUUAUUAGAAUAUUUGUUUGAAUAAAUAUAUUUAUUAAAUUUCAGGUCAAGAUGUAGCUUAAUAAAGGUAUAGUGAGCUACAUUAUAUUAUAAGUGGACCAUAAAUUUAGAUAAAUGUAAAAAUGGAUUUGGAAGUAACUUUUUUUAGGAUAAAAGGUUGAAUUAUAUAGAUUUAUGUACACAUC
rnacentral:rRNA from 1 species